GUUUUUCCACAUAUUCUGAAUAAUUUUCGGGGUGUAUUUAUAGAUAGUUGUUUAUAAGAUAGUCAGUAUACUAUAGAGCAGUUUGUAUUCUAGCACCAGCGUUGUAGCCGUCUGCCUUAUUCUACUGAUCAAUCGAAGUUUGGGAGAAGAUGGUCCGAUUGUUGUUGUUUACAAUGAUAUUUCUUUCGAUGUAUACAGUCGGAAUGAUGCAGGCAGUUGGAGGCGGGCUUGGAGAUGGCGUUAAUGGUAACGACCGCACAGCAUGUGAACCGAAUCCUUGUCCACAAGGCAUGGAAGUGUGUACAGAAACUGAGGAUGGCCGUUAUUCGUGUGGUCCACGUAAGAAUUAUAUCUGAGAACAU